rnacentral:lncRNA from 1 species
AUCACAAGGUCAGGAGAUCGAGACCAUCCUGGCUAACACGAGUCUCUUCACCCCUAGUAUCAGUAUACAGGGGACAUUCAGUUGUUGACUGCCUGAUGAAUGUUUGCCAGUAAUUAGAACUGAGAGACACUCAAAGAUUCUGGACUGUCUUCUGAGCAGAGAAUAAAAAGUAGCUAUCAUCUGCCCACCACAGACAUGAAAAAACAAGAAAGACAGUUUGCAGAGAGGAGAGAAUGAAACAGGACUGUAGAGAGAAGCAGAGACAAGAAAUGGAUCUUCCCAUCUCGUCAUGAGCUUCCACUUCCAGUGCUUGGCCUUUGGACUUUUCUCUUCAUUAUGCCAUUGGCCAGCAGUGUGACCACAUGGAAGCAGCAUGGGCUCUGAAGCCAGGCUGAUGUGUGUCCAGAUCUAAGCCCUGCCGUCUACUAGCUUGGUGAUCUUGGGUAAGUUAUUUAAUCUCUGAGAGUCCCAUUUCCUCAUUUGUAAAAUGGGGAUAGUCAUACU